GCCCAGAGCCCGACGCGGGGCUCGAACUCACGGACCACGAGAUCGUGACCUGGCUGAAGUCGGGCGCUUAACCGACUGUGCCACCCAGGCGCCCCUCUACUGUCUUUUAUAUAAGUGAAGGUUCUGCAUUGACAGACCCCACCUUGGGUUCGAUUAAUUUACUACAGCAGCUCACAGAACUCAGGGAAACAUUUUCUCGUACUUACUAGAUAGUAACUCAGGAACACACCACAUGGAAGAAAUGCGUAGGUCAAGUUAUGUGUGAAGGGGUGCAGAGCCUCCAGCCUCUCUGAGUCAUCGCCCUCCCCAUAUCGCCAUAUGUUCACCAUGGAAGCUGUCAACCCCAUUCUUUUGGAUUUUUCAAGAGGUUUCUUUACAUAGGCAUGAUUGAUCAAAGCACUGGCCAUUGGCAGUUGGUUCAACCUCCAAUCCCUCUCUCCUCCCCAGAGGUCUGGGGUGGGACUGAAAGUUCUAACCCUCUAAACACAUGAUUGACUCCACUGGCAACCAGCCCUUGUCCUUAAAUCAUCCCACUAACAUAACAAAAGACAUCUUUAUCACUCUAAUCCUUAGGAAAUUCCAAGGGCUUUGUGAUCUGUGAGCCAGGAAGUUCGGGUGAAGAACAAAUACAGACAUGAAAUAUAUUCUCCUCAUCUGAAUGACCAAAUACAUAUUUUUUCUUAUAAGUCGUAAUAUCACAAUAUGAGUUAAAGCUGUUGCAGGAUACAAAUGAGAUUUGCUCCCAAUUACUUAAUUCUCCUCUGCCCAACCAUUUCCAAGGAAACUGAAUAUAUGUGUUAAUCUGUAAUCAUGGAACAUUACCAGUUCUAUUCAAAUUUUAAUGCACACCCACCAAAUUUUCACCGUUUGAGAUGACUCAUUUUCUCUAUACUUUCCUGCUGAGGUUGUAUAAUUAAGACAAUAAUAAAUCAUCCUAAUUAAAUGUUGGAAACUUAGCACAAACCAGGCAGGUGUGUGUAAGACCCUUUCAUGUUCUAACUUCAGAAAGAGAGGGAUAUAGCUCUUCCCUGAUUGGGGUCAAAAAUGUAUGGCUCCUACAUGCACUUGGGUGAUGAGCAAACAGCAUUCAACUAGUAGUACCACAAAUCAAAUUCAGCUUCUAACUAGCUGUGUUCUAGAACCCCAAGAAAUUCAUUUGGCCUCUCCAGGAUCUAUGAUCUCAUAGGUCAAUGGGGGGCUGUUAUCAUGGCCCCCAUCUGUCUUCAUAAUCUAAGGAAGACUAUGGAAUAUCAUGAGAAACAUGCUCAUAGCCAUAAAGUUUGCUAGUCAGUUUUAGGGAUUCAUGUGUCUAAGACUGUCUGCACCAGAAGAUAAAAUUCCUUCUUCCUCUUGCAUUCUAUGAUGUUAAGACUUAGUAGCUGAUAAUGAGGAAGACUUCGUUCAUCUUCUUAGUCUAUUCACAGGGCUAGUGGCUGAGGAUGAGGAAUGGCAAAUGCCUUGUAUAGCUAUCUUGUAUCCAUGGCAACUUUGAAUACUCUCAACCAGUCUGUGAAAAGAAUACUUAAGAUAUCUACAAGAGAUGAAAAUGUGGUUAUUACUGGUUCAGUGAAUUUAAUUAGUUUGACUACCUUUUGCACAAUAUGAAAUUUUUCUGGAGCCUACAAUGAAAUAAUUGAUAAGAAAGUCCUUUGGAAGCUAGAAAGUGCUAUCUAUACUACUCCUUCUUAAUUUUUAUGACAUAGAUUUAUACUAUAAAGAGCAAAAAAAAAAAAAAAAUCAAUGGCAAUAUGCUUACAUCCCCAGUUUUGACCAAACUCAUUAACUAACCUGCUGGGUCUAUAGAAGAACAAUCUGGUAUAGCUAAAAGUUUAUCAACCUAAAUAAAGAGGUAAACUGAGGCAAGCUCAAAUUACCAGAAAUUGAGUUUAUUUGGGAACAGCAGAGGAACUGCAAUUCCAUAAAUGCGUGACGUUGCAGGCUACAGGUGAGUCUGCUGAGGGUUUGGAGCAGGCUGUAUUUAUAGGCAAGUUGUGCAAAGAGGGGGAUGUCCAGCCAGAGUCCAAGCAGUGAGUUCCAUGGCUUGCGAAUGGGAAAAGAUUCUUGGCAGUUGCUCAUUGGUCAGGGGAUAAGUCUUGGUCUUCUGUACAUCAGACAUUUCUGAGAAAUCAGUCUCUAGGUUCUUAAGUUCUGUUCUUCUAGGAGGUGCGUGUGCGACAUUCUCCGUUUCAUAUAAUCAGGUUCCACUUUAGAUUGAAGUCCUUUUACAAGUUACCAGGAAUUUUUGAAGAAAUAAAAUAUUGGCACAAUAUGAUUUGUCUACCUUUUCCCUGUCUUACUUACCUUCUUUACUUACCUUCCUUACCUUCAACUUACCUUCCUUAAACAUCUCUUGACCGCCCAACAUGUCAGACACCGACCUGAGAGCUAGGUACAGAGCAGGUGUCCUUUAAUUCCAUAGUUAGCCUGAGUUAACCUAUAGAUUUGCUGUCAAAAGGUCUAACCUGGGCAGUUGCAUCUAGUUCACCCUGUAGGUACACUGUGCAGCCCAUUCUACAAACAUUGACCAGGUGCCUGCUUCCUGCCAGCUACUGUAUCACAUGCAUGUGGACUUUGUCUUCAAGCAGUUCAUGUUGUUUUGGAGGGAGCCUGACACGCAAGCUAACAAUCACGAUAAGAUACAGCGACCACAUGUCCUAUCUGUAAAGUGUGGUCAUUCAGUGAUUCAGGUUUCCUCCAUUGCGUGACCUCACAGUCUCCUCAGGCAAUGUCAUCCUCUGCAUGAAUGAGGUGUGGUUGAUCUGGAUUCCAGUAGAAAGGAGGAAUAGAAUAUCGAGGAGGAGUCAGACUUGAAACCCUUCUCGUGUGAAAAUCUGGAAGCUGCAAACAGCCCAUUUUACACCUGAGUACCCCACCCAUAGGUUGCUGAGGCAACUCUGCUGCUUACAUGUGGAGAAAAAACUGACUCAGAGCUUGAAUGGUUUGAAGUGUGCGAGAACCAUGAGAUACAGUUUAUGUUUCUUGAUGAAGAAAUCACUUGGCUACUUUAGAAUCCAAGUUGGUGCUUAUUUUUCAAGCCAGCAGUCACAGUUGUUUGCAGAGCAGAUGUGGAUUACAGGUGAAUAUUCAGGAGGGAGCCCAUGGCCUGGAGAGGAAGCUGGUGACCAGGGAAGAGCAGAAGAGUGAAAUCUGCUGCCAUUUACCAUGGCAGACUGCCAUGGGCACAAUGGCUAACUCUGCAGGAGUAAUCUGACUUCAAACAACGGAAAAGUCAGUGCUGGGCGUUCUUGGUUCCAGUGGGAAAUAGUUUUAAUAAGGUUCUGGGACAUCUCCUAGAGAAAGGAAAUGUCCAGUGAUUACUCAGAACUAUGUUAAUUGUGGAUGUAUCAAAGAUUACUGAACGCCCUUUGCAAUAUUUUCCUGAGGCAGAUGGAGAAUAAACACCUUCAUUACGGGUGCUCAGAUGAUCCACUGUGCUGAAUUACAUUGAGAAGCACCUGGAUCUUCCAAGCUGGCAGGUUUCGGAGAAAAGAGAAGGAGAAUGGUCUAAAGGUGGAAAGGAGGAAGAAGAAAGGGCUAUGAGGUCUACAGGAGAAGAGCCCUUUUCCACUUGUAAUCUCUGCUGGAAGAGGAGGUGUGUGUCGUCUGUCUCGACCCUUAUGGAUGGAAGAGAAACUUCGGGGGAAGCCUGACAUAUUCCAUACAACCAGACCUUUGCAGUCCUGAUGACACGGAUGGAAGUCUUAUGUAGGCAAGGCCUUGUUCCAGUGCUCUGGUCCAUUUAACACUGGGAUAUUACAUUCUAGUGCCAGAAUGGUCCAGAAUUUGAGUUUUUUGGUUUUUUUUUUUUUUUUUAAUUUGCAGGGACAUAAAAUAUUUAAUGGAUGAAGAAUCUAAGAAAACUUCAAGCUCAACUCCUCAGUUUCACAAGACAGAAAACUGAGGCUGAGGAGGUUUGAGAGCCUCUGCUGAGUUUUUUUCUAACGAUAAUGAGGAUUAUAACUCCGAUACUCUGACAUCUAAGUACCAACCACACUGUGCUGAUGCUUAGAUGUUCAUAGUUUUAAUUAGAAAACAAAACAAAACAAAUCUUUCCCGCUCAGAAAAUAUACAGAUUCUUUACUGCUCAAAUUAAAAGUUUUCUUUUAAAACUUGUGUCUUGAGAACAGGAAUAAAGAGUUUGCUGUGA